UACGGAGGAUUCGAGCGUUAUCCGGAUUCAUUGGGUUUAAAGGGUGCGGAGGCGGACUUGUAAGUCAGCUGUGAAAGUUUACGGCUUAACCGUGAAAUUGCAUUUGAUACUGUUGGUCUUGAGAAUACAUGAGGUGGGCGGAAUUUGUGGUGUAGCGGUGAAAUGCUUAGAUAUCACAAAGAACUCCAAUUGCGAAGGCAGCUCACUGGGGUAUAUCUGACGCUGAUGCACGAAGGUGUGGGUAUCAAACAGG
rnacentral:rRNA from 1 species